CGGGCGUUCCCGUCAUGACACAAAAACGCCCAUCAGGCGUUCCUGUAGCGUUUCAUCGAUCAAUCAAGAAGAGUACCCUGGCACAUGCUUUGUCCAAUGGACCAUGGAAGGGACUUUACUUGGCUGACGAGGACGCACCUCACCAGUAUCAGAGCAACAGCUGUGGGGUGUUUAUGCUGAUGUACGCAAUGUAUUCUACCCUCAAAAGCAAUAUGAUUUCAGUGAGGUGAGUUCUUUCAAAUCUCAAUCAGAUGUGUAGCAUGAAAUAUAAGGCUUUUAAUAAUUUAGUCAUCCUUACUGGAGGCUACAAUUAACAUGCAUCAUAGGUCAUACACAUUACUUUGUCUUCAGGUACUGCACUUACGGGAGGAGAUGGCUACAUCUUCACAAUAAUUUACACUGCCAUAGUACACUGCUAAACAGUACUGUAACAUGGAUUUGUAUCAGGCUAUGAAGUCAUUUAAAGCAUAACUUUACUUUUCAGGGGGACAUGCUCUCUAUCAGGAGG